GGAUGUGAAGGUGAUUUGGCUGCGACAUCUGUCAGCACGAAUGAUCGCCAGGGUUGAUUCGCCUGAUCUGGCAGGUGAGGCGGGUGUCCCCUUCUUCCCUCUCCGCUCCAUGUGCGUCCCUCCCGAAGCUGUUCUCAGUCAAAAAGGACAAGCAUCCUGAAUAGAGGAGGACUGUUCUUCUCAGUCAAGGCUAUACGAGUAGCUGCGCUCCCCUGCUAGAACCUCCAAACAAGCUCUUGGGAUCACUCACCGGUUGUACAUUUUUUUUUUUUUUAUCAAGGAUGAACCUACAUUGAUACAUCUUAGUCACCCAAAGUCCACAGUUUACCCUAGGGUUCACUCUU
rnacentral:snRNA from 1 species